AUGGCGAAGAUCAAGCCAAAGGCAUUGCUGGCACAGAGCAAACAGAAGAAGGGCCCUACUCAGAUCGGCUUGGUGAGGAUCAUCACCUACAUCGUCCUCGGCGCCCUAGCAGUGUCCUCCGUCUACUAUGCCUAUCAGUACUGGCAGAGCAAAGGACCGGCCGUUGCGGCAGCAGCAGCAGAAGGCGCUGUGGGGAACUAA
rnacentral:rRNA from 1 species